rnacentral:rRNA from 1 species
GGGCUAAACAUAUUACCGAAACUGUGGAUGAACCUCUUUAGAGGUUCGUGGUAGGAGAGCGUUCUAAGGGCGGUGAAGUCAGACCGGAAGGACUGGUGGAGCGCUUAGAAGUGAGAAUGCCGGUAUGAGUAGCGAAAGAAGGGUGAGAAUCCCUUCCACCGAAUAUCUAAGGUUUCCUGAGGAAGGCUCGUCCGCUCAGGGUUAGUCGGGACCUAAGCCGAGGCCGAUAGGCGUAGGCGAUGGACAACAGGUAGAGAUUCCUGUACCAGUGCUAAUUGUUUAACCGAUGGGGUGACACAGAAGGAUAGGGAAUCGCACGAAUGGAAAUGUGCGUCCAAGCAGUGAGUGUGAGAAGUAGGCAAAUCCGCUUCUCGCGAAGCAUGAGCUGUGAUGGGGAAGGAAAUUAAGUACGGAAGUUCCUGAUUUCACGCUGUCAAGAAAAGCCUCUAGGAAGAGUAGUACUGCCCGUACCGCAAACCGACACAGGUAGAUGAGGAGAGAAUCCUAAGGUGAGCGAGAGAACUCUCGUUAAGGAACUCGGCAAAAUGACCCCGUAACUUCGGGAGAAGGGGUGCUCUAUUAGGGUGCAAGCCCGAGAGAGCCGCAGUGAAUAGGCCCAGGCGACUGUUUAGCAAAAACACAGGUCUCUGCAAAACCGUAAGGUGACGUAUAGGGGCUGACGCCUGCCCGGUGCUGGAAGGUUAAGAGGAGUGCUUAGCUUCGGCGAAGGUACGAAUUGAAGCCCCAGUAAACGGCGGCCGUAACUAUAACGGUCCUAAGGUAGCGAAAUUCCUUGUCGGGUAAGUUCCGACCCGCACGAAAGGCGCAACGAUCUGGGCACUGUCUCAACGAGAGACUCGGUGAAAUUAUAGUACCUGUGAAGAUGCAGGUUACCCGCGACAGGACGGAAAGACCCCGUGGAGCUUUACUGCAACCUGAUAUGGAAUGUUUGUACCGCUUGUACAGGAUAGGUAGGAGCCGAAGAGACGUGUGCGCUAGCAUACGAGGAGGCAAUGGUGGGAUACUACCCUGGCUGUAUGACCAUUCUAACCCGCCACGCUUAGCGCGUGGGGAGACAGUGUCAGGUGGGCAGUUUGACUGGGGCGGUCGCCUCCUAAAGAGUAACGGAGGCGCCCAAAGGUUCCCUCAGAAUGGAUGGAAAUCAUUCGCAGAGUGUAAAGGCACAAGGGAGCUUGACUGCGAGACUGACAAGUCGAGCAGGGACGAAAGUCGGGCUUAGUGAUCCGGUGGUUCCGCAUGGAAGGGCCAUCGCUCAACGGAUAAAAGCUACCCCGGGGAUAACAGGCUUAUCUCCCCCAAGAGUCCACAUCGACGGGGAGGUUUGGCACCUCGAUGUCGGCUCGUCGCAUCCUGGGGCUGUAGUCGGUCCCAAGGGUUGGGCUGUUCGCCCAUUAAAGCGGCACGCGAGCUGGGUUCAGAACGUCGUGAGACAGUUCGGUCCCUAUCCGUCGCGGGCGCAGGAAAUUUGAGAGGAGCUGUCCUUAGUACGAGAGGACCGGGAUGGACACACCGCUGGUGUACCAGUUGUUCCGCCAGGAGCAUCGCUGGGUAGCUAUGUGUGGCAGGGAUAAACGCUGAAAGCAUCUAAGCGUGAAGCCCCCCUCAAGAUGAGAUUUCCCAUUUCUUCGGAAAGUAAGAUCCCUGAAAGAUGAUCAGGUAGAUAGGUUUGGAGUGGAAGUGUAGCGAUACAUGGAGCGGACAAAUACUAAUCGAUCGAGGACUUAACCAAAAA